rnacentral:lncRNA from 1 species
GAAAUCUUCAGUAUUUCUUUAGUGCAUAUUAUUUGAAAGGGAGCCAACUCCGUCGUCCUUGCCUACCAAUUAACGAUUAUCCAACCUUGCCCCGUCACUUUGGACAUUUCUUGAAAACAGGUACAUUUUCGUCCUUAAAUUUUGUACAUCUUUCAUCAAAAUUCAUAGGAAAGGAAAAGUUUAUUUGUAAAAAUCAUAUUGCAUUGUUAAACAUGAAUAUCUAUGUCACAUUUUCAUCGUACUUUAAUUACGGAUUAGUUGAAGAUUUUUCAGUAAUUUGAUGGAUUUUCUUGCAUUUAUCCAUCGUCUGUGUAACGCUAAAAAAAUGGCCGAAUUUAAUUUCAAGUUUAUCUACAAUUCUUUAAUUUUUACUGAGAUGUUAUAUAAGUAUUGUUUAUUGAUGCGAAUCCUAUUUUAAUUCUUUAUUUUGCCAUUAUUAAAUGCAUUUAUUUGCGGUAAAGAGCCUGGAGUCGAUAUGACCCAGUUUAUAUGUGUUUCAUGGAAGUCGUGUUAUAAAAAGUGAAACUCGUCUGUUUGUAUAUUACAUAUAACGCAUUUCUUAUCAUUCCUUGGAAUUUUGUUCGGCUUGUGACAUCUACCAUCAAGCACUUUUAAACGUGUACAUGUGCAUGAAAAGAGUGCUAUAUAAAUGUUGUAUAAUACAUCUACCUGUGUCUAUCAAUAAUCUAUGUGCUUACAAUCUCAGUCUUGUUAAUGCUAUUCUAAAUUUCAUUACAGAAGCAUUAUAAAACAGGACUUAAAACCGAAAGUUGAAAACAGUUUAUAAGAAGAAGCUCUUGAAGAAUUCUCUAAAGAUUCAUUCCAGCGUUACAUGAAACUAUUUCUUAUUCUUUGUUUGAAGCUGAGUAAAUAUUAUGUCAUUUCCUACUCCUUGAUUUAUCCAAACAUAAUGAAAUGCUAAGUGCUCAUAUAUUGAUUUGACUGAUUUUGCCCCACAAUUGAUAUUUGGUUUAAGUUCCAUCUCAUAUAUCAUCAUGUCAUAAACUUUUCUAAUAUAUCUGUAUCUUUCAGACUUCAUAUUUUAAACCAAAAUUGUAUUAUCUAACACACCCUAUGGUAUAUAAAUGAAUAUAUGUCUUUUGCAUCAUAAGCUGACUUCACAAGAUAAGCUAUAUAACUUUAACUUUCAUUUUUCAAAAUUAAGCUCUUUUAUAUCUUAGAAAGUUAAGCAGAUUCCUCCGAAACUAUUAGGCUAAGUGCUUUAACACUCCACACAAGUCUUUAACAUCAUAAGAUAAAUUACAGGGCAAGGUACAUGGCUCUAACUUAUAUUUUACUUAAAUAAAGUCCAUUUAUAACUUGAGAAAGCUUGUAAAAUGUUUGUAUGUAAGCAAGUUUCACUGAAUCUACCAAGCCAAACUCCAAACUCCACACAAGUCUAUGUCUUCAUAAGAUGACCUCACAUGAUAUGCUUUAAAUACUUAGAAAACUUAAGAAAGUUUUUCCUGUAAGCUGUUUUGUCGGAAACUACUUGACUGAACUUACCUCAAGUCUUUUGCAUCAUGAGAUGACCUCGAAGAACAGGUUUCGUACGUCUGGCUUACAUUUUGUCACAAAUAUGCCACUUUUUAACAUUGUGUGAAAGUUUUGCAUUUAAGCAUGUUCUUCUCAGAAAGUUGUUGACGAACUAUUCUCAAACACUACACAAGUCUUUAACAUCAUGCUAUGGCCUCACGUGGCAGGGAUCAUAAGUCUGACUUAUAUUCCGGCAAAAAUGUUGCUUUUUAUCACAGAAAGUUUGGUAACAAUUGUGCAAGUAAGCAGGUUUCUCAGGAACCUAUUUAUCGAAUGUUUUUACGUACUCUUCUUAAGGCUUCAUCGUCAUGAAAUGACCUCUCUUAGCCAGUUUUUGUAACUCCGAAUUAAGUUUACAAAGGCAAGUUUUUGUUUGUAAGUUAAAAAAUAUGUGGAAGGGUUUCAAAAUGUUGAGCGCGCUGUCAUUAGACAAUUCCUUCCAAAUUUUAUUGGAAUGAUUUGAAGUCGUAUCGAUUCCCGAUUGAGGCAGUGCCUUAUUUAUACUAUGUGUGAUAACAGCCGUAUGUAGCCUGAAUUUUAAGUAAAUUAUUCUGUUUGGGAUUUUCAUUGAAAUAUUUAUCCCAUUGUCAAGCCCUCUACUUUAUACUGAACAAUAUUAGUUUUAUGUUGUGUAAGCAGUUCUUCAGGGCAUUUUGUAUCCUCAUGAGAAUACAUUGUGCAUUGUUACACCUGAGCAUAAGGAGUAUAUGUAUACAUAUACGUAUUGCAGACAGUGUUCUGAAUAAAGCAGUGGAAUUCAUCCUUACAAACAUGCAAGCAACUACUUAUUGACAACCAUAUUUGUUUGUUUUUCUAUCCACCGGCCAGGUAUAGUGUCGUUUAUUUUGCGGAAAAGAAUCUUCCGUUUAGGCAUUUGAUAAAUAUUUUUGGCCACACAGAAAACAGUAUGUUCGAGACAUUUAUUAUAAUGGUAAGUAAUGAUAAACAGUAAGAUAGCUAAACAGUAUAAUGAAUUAUGUUAACUCGCCUCUAUUUAAUGGAAGUGUGCAUGUCUUAGCUUAAGCGGGAUCAAAAACAAUGUUCUUCUGCAAGUAAGCAGAGACACAGCCUGUAUUAUCUAAUAUGUAAAGUUGUUUUUAUUAAAAAAGAAAUCGAUUCAAUUAUUCGGUAUUGUAUAAAUCAGAUAAUUGACUCGGUUAACAAAUAUAUACGUACAUUUCUAAUGUAAAAUGUUUAUGUAAAAUACAUGCAGUGACAAAAUGUCUCUAGUAAUUACGGAAAUUGUUAAUAUGAGCAUGAUAACAUGAAGUACGGAACAGACAAUCUUAAAACGACAUCUGAUUUAAAAUGCAAGUUUCUUAGGGGAUAAAAAAGAAACAAACCCAACUCUCUACUGCUUAUAGAUGUUCAGCCGUACCACUAUUUAUACGAUUAUUUUUUAAUGCGUCUAACUUUCGUUCUUUAACUGCAAUGCUAAACAACUUUGAAUUCUAAAUAAAGUUCAACUUUAUACUUAAACAUUUCGUGUGAAUACCGUGAAUGAAUUUACAAACUCUACGACAUACAUCGGUAGUAGGUAAUUGCGCAAUUGUAUGCAAACACAAAUAAACGGAUAACAUCAAACAGCUUGCAGUUAAAAGAAAAUUUACCCAGAAAGGAUAAUGAUAAUGAUGAUCCAGGUUUCUGUAGCUGUCGUGAUGGUAAUAGUCUUUGGUGAAGCAAACGGAGGCUUCAAAUCAAGGUGCGGAAAUAGCGAUGAGCAAAAUGUGUGUGCCCCGACAUAUGAAUGCAAAUCCCCAUUUCCGGGACAUUGUCAACAGUUGUUGUGUUGCCAGAAAGAGACGUUCUCUAACAGUUCCCCGCCUGGUAGGUCUGUUGCUAUAAAAGCAUUAACAAAGAGUCGCUUGUUUGGGAUAUGAGAAUAGAUCAUAUUUGUAAAAAUAUAUUUGAAAUUAAGUCGAAUCGUAAUAGAACAGCGUAUUACCAACGCCACGGAUAGCAUAAUGGAUAACGACUUAACUUUUCCUGUGUGAUUCUCGAAAAAAAAACAUGAAGCUAUACUGGUGAUCGACAUUAUAAUCAUUUGAAAAACGUGGGCACAUGUCAUUUUAUUAGAUGAUAUUCAAAUUUAUUCUUUAUAUAACUUUUGAUUAAAAUCACAUUUAAAGAACGCAACCCUCGGAAUUCAGACCAAAAAGUUUCUUCUGAUAUGCACAUUUUAUGUCAUGUCAUGUCAUGUUGAAUAUUGCAUAGAUGAAUAUAAUUAUAUAUUUGUAUUCGGUUUGAGGAAUUAAGAUUUGCUUUCUAAACAGUUUUCUCAUUUUGCAUUCCGUAUAAUGUUGUAUCAUCUGCAUACAGAUCUGAUACUAUAUUUCCAACUGUGAGCGGCAAGUCAUUUAUAAAUAAAAGAAAUAACAGAGGCCCUAAAAUAGACUCCUGUGGCACGCCGCAUGAUAUAAUUUUAUUACUUGUUCAUAAUUUGCUCUAACUAAUGACGUUCCAUUUUUUUUUUGAAAAGAAUAUUGAUAUCAACAUCAAAUGCUUUUCUAAUGUCUAUCGUUACGGUUCCUACUAAAUAAACGUAAUUUAUUGAUUUUAAUCACAAAUCAAUAUUACAAUACGAGUUUUUGUUUCUAAACUAUUUAAAUGCCAAAUCAAGAAAAAAAGAUGACCGCGUCGAGAAUCGAACCCAGGCUGUCGCGGCAAUAAAGUAGUUUCCCGCUGUCGUUACUAAUACCGCUAUAGAAGAUUUAGUGUUCAGUGAGCGUUAGAUAUAGAUAUUUAUAAUCGGGGCAAUUUAACUCGAGUAAAGCGUUACAAACGCUUUUCGACACUAGUAAAAACAACUAAUUCUCAUGUGUUUCUGUAACAUAUAUUGUGUCAGUAAUUAAGUUUCAAAGCAUUCUUAAGAAAUACAGCAUUAAUUUCCAGAUAUAUAUCUAAAACAAUUCUUCUCUUUUUGUUCUCGAACGAUCUGGAUGACAGUGCCUUUAAAGAAUCAUGAAAAUGUUUUUCAGUUGAUUUAAAUAGGUUGGUAAAAUUGAUAUUGGUCUGUAUUUAUUCACAUUAACUUGAUAGCCAGCUUUAAAGUUAGUGUAAUGGCUUUAUUUAAGCACUCUUCCAUACACUUGGAAAUGCUGAAUUUGAUAUACUACAAUUUAUUAGAAAUGUCAGACUCUGUGAUAUAAAUGGCGAUGAAAGUUUUAACAGUUUUUGCCCUAUAUUAUCAAGUCCUGUUGAUUUUGAUGUAUCAAGAUUUGAUAAAUACUAUUGUACCUGAAAUACAGAUAUCAGUGGGAUGAGAAUCAAAAUUCUGCUGGAACUUUAGAGUCAAAGGUUUUUAUGUGUGAAAAAUCAGACAAAUGGACAGGAUCUUUUAAUUUUUCUGCAAUAGUAACAAAAUACUCGUUAAGUUUGCUAUUUCCUGUUUAUUUGUAAUAAAUGUUUCAUUAACGAUUAUAUUUGUCAAUACAUACUUUCUCGUUACUACUUCUAUUUGUUCAACAUUCUUGAAAGAUUAUCUAAAUAGUUUUGGGGUAAUGUUUCCCUUCUUCAGUCAUAUUCUCAGACUUUCGCUUCCUGUGCUGUCUUAUUAAUGUUAAUACCUUAUUUCUCCUUUCCUUAUACAAAUUUGAUGUUUUAUCAUGAGAAAUUGAAUCGCGGUCUCUUAUCGCUUGUGAAAUAUCUGUGGAGAACCAAUCUGGUUGAUAUUUACGUUUAACUCGUUUAAUCUGUACUGGUGUAUUUUUAUAAAUGACAUCUAAAAAUGCAUUUUUCAGCAUAAUAUCAAUAUUUCCGCAUUCAGUUAUUAUCUCCCGGUUUGUUUCUCAAAAAAUAUAUAUCCGUUUUAAGCUCACCUGUGCAAUGCUCAGGUGAAAUUUUGGGAUCGCUCGAUGUCCGGCGUCCGUCUGUCGUCUAUUUGUCAACAUUUAGCUUGUGUAUGCAAUAGAGGCUGUA